AACGCGAAGAACCUUACCUACCCUUGACAUCCUAGGAAUUUUGCAGAGAUGUGAGAGUGCCGAAAGGAACCUAGAGACAGGUGCUGCAUGGCUGUCGUCAGCUCGUGUUGUGAGAUGUUGGGUUAAGUCCCGUAACGAGCGCAACCCCUAUCCUUAGUUACCAGCGCGUGAUGGCGGGGACUCUAAGGAGACUGCUGGUGAUGAACCGGAGGAAGGCGGGGACGACGUCAAGUCAUCAUGGCCUUUAUGGGUAGGGCUACACACGUGCUACAAUGGGCAGUACAGAGGGAAGCGAAACCGCGAGGUGAAGCCAAUCCCAGAAAGCUGUUCGUAGUCCGGAUUGAAGUCUGCAACUCGACUUCAUGAAGUCGGAAUCGCUAGUAAUCGCGAAUCAGAAUGUCGCGGUGAAUACGUUCCCGGGCCUUGUACACACCGAGACGUA
rnacentral:rRNA from 1 species